rnacentral:rRNA from 1 species
AGAACGAACGCUGGCGGCAUGCCUAAUACAUGCAAGUCGAACGAACACUUCGGUGUUAGUGGCGCACGGGUGCGUAACGCGUGGGAAUCUGCCCUUGGGUUCGGAAUAACAGUUGGAAACGACUGCUAAUACCGGAUGAUGACGAAAGUCCAAAGAUUUAUCGCCCAGGGAUGAGCCCGCGUAGGAUUAGCUAGUUGGUGAGGUAAAGGCUCACCAAGGCGACGAUCCUUAGCUGGUCUGAGAGGAUGAUCAGCCACACUGGGACUGAGACACGGCCCAGACUCCUACGGGAGGCAGCAGUAGGGAAUAUGGACAAUGGGCGAAAGCCUGAUCAGCAAUGCCGCGUGAGUGAUGAAGGCCUUAGGUUGUAAAGCUCUUUUACCGAGAUGAUAAUGACAGUAUCGGAGAAUAAGCCCGCUAACUCCGUGCCAGCAGCCGC